CAUGUCUGUGUGAAUUAUAUACUUAGUCUGGCCUGUCCACUGAGAUUUUAAAGGGCUGCGGUAAUUUGACCGUGCAAAGGUAGCAUAAUCAAUAGUCUUUUAAUUGGAGGCUUGAAUGAAUGGUUUGACGGAGGAGAAGCUGUCUUUCUUAUUAAGAUUGAAUUUAACUUUUGUGUGAAAAGGCAUUAAUGAUUUAGAGGGACGAUAAGACCCUAUAAAACUUUACGUGUUAGUAUUAUUUGAUAAAAUAGUUAAUUAAUUAUUGGUUGGUUAAUUGCGUUUUGCUGGGGUGGCAGAAAUAUAAUUGUAACUGUUUUGAAUAUAAAAUAUCUAUUGAUAGAGAAUGGUCCUUUAUUUAAGAGUUAAGAUUAAGUUACUUUAGGGAUAACAGCAUAAUUUCUUUUGAGAGUUCUUAUCGAAGAUGGUAGUUAUGACCUCGAUGUUGAAUUAAAUUUUCUUUUAAAUGCAGGAGUUUAAAAAGAGGGCCUGUUCGGCCUGGAAGUAUUUACGUG
rnacentral:rRNA from 1 species